rnacentral:rRNA from 1 species
GUUUGAUCCUGGCUCAGGAUGAACGCUAGCUACAGGCUUAACACAUGCAAGUCGAGGGGCAGCAUCAUCAAAGCUUGCUUUGAUGGAGGGCGACCGGCGCACGGGUGAGUAACACGUAUCCAACCUGCCGACAACACUGGGAUAGCCUUUCGAAAGAAAGAUUAAUACCGGAUGGCAUAGUUUUCCCGCAUGGGUUGACUAUUAAAGAAUUUCGGUUGUCGAUGGGGAUGCGUUCCAUUAGGCAGUUGGCGGGGUAACGGCCCACCAAACCUACGAUGGAUAGGGGUUCUGAGAGGAAGGUCCCCCACAUUGGAACUGAGACACGGUCCAAACUCCUACGGGAGGCAGCAGUGAGGAAUAUUGGUCAAUGGACGAGAGUCUGAACCAGCCAAGUAGCGUGAAGGAUGACUGCCCGAAUUUAAAAACUUCUUUUAUACGGGAAUAAAGUGAGCCACGUGUGGCUUUUUGUAUGUACCGUAUGAAUAAGGAUCGGCUAACUCCGUGCCAGCAGCCGCGGUAAUACGGAGGAUUCGAGCGUUAUCCGGAUUUAUUGGGUUUAAAGGGAGCGUAGGCGGGUUGUUAAGUCAGUUGUGAAAGUUUGCGGCUCAACCGUAAAAUUGCAGUUGAUACUGGCGACCUUGAGUGCAACAGAGGUAGGCGGAAUUCGUGGUGUAGCGGUGAAAUGCUUAGAUAUCACGAAGAACUCCGAUUGCGAAGGCAGCUUACUGGAUUGUAACUGACGCUGAUGCUCGAAAGUGUGGGUAUCAAACAGGAUUAGAUACCCUGGUAGUCCACACAGUAAACGAUGAAUACUCGCUGUUGGCGAUAUACAGUCAGCGGCCAAGUGAAAGCAUUAAGUAUUCCACCUGGGGAGUACGCCGGCAACGGUGAAACUCAAAGGAAUUGACGGGGGCCCGCACAAGCGGAGGAACAUGUGGUUUAAUUCGAUGAUACGCGAGGAACCUUACCCGGGCUUAAAUUGCAACUGACGGAACCGGAAACGGUUCUUUCUUCGGACAGUUGUGAAGGUGCUGCAUGGUUGUCGUCAGCUCGUGCCGUGAGGUGUCGGCUUAAGUGCCAUAACGAGCGCAACCCUUACGGGUAGUUACCAUCAGGUUAUGCUGGGGACUCUACCCGGACUGCCGUCGUAAGAUGUGAGGAAGGUGGGGAUGACGUCAAAUCAGCACGGCCCUUACGUCCGGGGCUACACACGUGUUACAAUGGGGGGUACAGAAGGCAGCUACACGGCGACGUGGUGCUAAUCCCGAAAGCCUCUCUCAGUUCGGAUUGGAGUCUGCAACCCGACUCCAUGAAGCUGGAUUCGCUAGUAAUCGCGCAUCAGCCACGGCGCGGUGAAUACGUUCCCGGGCCUUGUACACACCGCCCGUCAAGCCAUGAAAGCCGGGGGUACCUGAAGUACGUAACCGCGAGGAGCGUCCUAGGGUAAAACUGGUGAUUGGGGCUAAGUCGUAACAAGGUAGCCGUACCGGAAGGUGCGGCUGGAACACCUCCUUUCUGGAGCGACGCUCAGAAAAAAGACGAAAAGUUGGUUCUAAAGAGACUACCUCCAUAAGAACCUCUUGUACUGCGAAGAAUUGUUUAUUGAUAAUAUAAAGAGAAAGUAGAAGCCGAGCCUUCGGGCUAGGGUUUGACUGACAGUCCUAUAGCUCAGUUGGUUAGAGCGCUACACUGAUAAUGUAGAGGUCGGCAGUUCAACUCUGCCUGGGACUACGACAUAGUCUUGGUGAGAGACACAGACGAUUUUAAUUACUAAUUCUAAUUACUAAUUACCAAUCACUGACCGUCUAUUACUAACCACUAUCUCGGGGGAUUAGCUCAGCUGGCUAGAGCACCUGCUUUGCACGCAGGGGGUCAACGGUUCGAAUCCGUUAUUCUCCACUCUUGAGAUUCCGUUAAAUCGGAAUA